GCAGUGGCAAGAGCACCACUGCCACAGUUAACCCCUUUCACUGUCGAGACCCCUGCUCAUAAACUUGCUCUCAGUUUCGAAAAUUAAAAAAAAAAAAUUCUUAUGAAAUGAUAGAAUCUUUUUCCCAAUUGUAAUGAUACCAAAAGUACAAAAUUUGGUGGAAAACUUACUGAAUUAUGCUCUUGCGAAGUUAGCGGUGUCAGCAAUAUUUAUACAUCAGCAAUUUCGCCCACUUUGAGCCCUGUUUUCGGCCAAUUCCAUUGUUCCAGUUGACCAAACUCAUAGCUAUUUUGCUAGAACUCCAUAUGUUUUAUCGAUUGAGUACAAGAACCCACCCAUUUACCAAUUUUAACUUACCCAGUAAAGUGAUCAGAAAUUGGUAAUUUGGCCAAUUUCAUACACAAUUCAGAUAAGCCCAAUUUCAAAAUAGGGUCCAGAAUUAACAAUACAAACAUUCCUAGCACUAAAAUAACAUUUUCUCUGUUCAUUAGUCAUGUCUCCAGGCCCCUCUUAUAUUGCACUUGCUUUCCAUUUUGAAUUUUUAUUCACACAAAAAAUAUAAUACUGUUAUGCAGACUACUGCAUUAUUGUAAAAUUGGUAUAAAUAAUAUCAGUGCAGGUAGUAGGUUGGUAGACAGCAACCACCCAGGGAAGUACUAUCGUCCUGCCAAGUGAGUGUAAAAUGAAAGCCUGUAAUUGUUUUACAUGAUGGUAGGAUUACUGGUGUCUUGUUUCUGUCUCAUAAACAUGCAAGAUUUCGGGUACGUCUUGCUACUUUUACUUACACUUAGGUCACACUACACAUGCAUGUACAAGCAUAUAUAUACACACACCCCUCUGGGUUUUCUUCUAUUUUCUUACUAGUUCUUGUUCUUGUUUGUUUCCUCUUAUCUCCUUGGGGAAGUGGAACAGAAUUCUUCCUCCUUAAGCAGUGUGCAUCAUAAGAGGCAACUAAAAUGCCAGGAGCAAGGGGCUAGUAAUCCCUUCUCCCUUCUCCUGUAUAUAAUACUAAAGUUAAAAAGAGAAGCUUUUGUUUUUCUUUUUGGGUCACCCCUGCCUCGGUGGGAUAUGUCCAGUUUGUUGAAAGAAAAGAAGAAGAAACACGCUGGAUAACAGGUAUAUCUUGCUACUUCUACUUACGCUUAGGUCAUGCUACACAGGCAUGUACAUGCAUAUAUAUACUUGCACACAUCAAGUUUUUUUCUUCUUUUUCUUAAUAGCUCUUGUUCUUUAUUUUCUCUAUUGUCCAUGGGGAAGUGGAAAAGAAUCUUUCCUCCAUAAGCCAUGCAUGUCGUAUGAGGCAACUAAAAUGCUGGGAGCGAUGGGCUAGUAACCCCAUUUACGUAUACAUUUACAAAAAAAGACAAGAAGAAAAACUUAAUGAAACUGGGAUGCUUGAAUAUGUGUGGAUGUAGUGUGGAUGAUAAGAAAGAGAUGAUUGUUAAUGUUAUGAAAGAAAAGAAAUUGGAUGUCCUGGCCCUAAGCAAAACAAAGCUGAAGGGAGUAGGCGAGUUUCAGUGGGGAGAAAUAAAUGGAGGUUGUAAGAGAAGUGAAUGCAAGGGUCUUGGCAAGAGGUGUGGGGUUAAAAGAUAUAGAAUCUAACACAAAGUGGGAGUUGUCACAGUUGCUCUAUGCUGAUGACACGGUGCUUUUGGGUGAUUCUGAAGAGAAGUUACAGAGGUUGGUGGAUGAAUUUGGUAGGGUAUAUAAAAGAAAAAAAUUAAAAGUGAAUAUAGAAAAGAGUAAGGUGAUAAGGAUAAAAAGAUUAGGUGAUGAAAGAUUGGAUAUCAGAUUGGAGGGAGAGAGUAUGGAGGAGUUGAAUGUAUUCAGAUAUUUAGGAGUGGAGGUGUCAGCAGAUGUGUCUAUGAAGGAUGAGGUGAAUCAUAGAAUUGAUGAGGGGAAAAGGGUGAGUGAUGCAUUUAGGAGUCUGUGGAGACAAAGAACUUUGUCUGUGGAAGCAAAGAGGGGAAUGUACGAGAGUAUAGUUAUACCAACACUCUUAUGUGGGUAUGAAGCAUGGGUGGUGAAUGUCGCAACGAGGAGAAGGCUAGAGGCAGUGGAGAUGUCAUGUCUGAGGGCAAUGUGUGGUGUGAACAUAAUGCAGAGAAUUCGUAGUUUGGAAAUUAGGAGGUGGUGCCAGAUUACCAAAACUAUUAUCCAGAGGGCUGAGGAGGGGUUGCUGAGGUGGUUCGGACAUGUAGAGAAAAUUAAACGAAACAGAAUGACUUAGAGAGUGUAUAAAUCUGUAGUGGAGGGAAGGAGGGGUAGGGGUCGGUCAAGGGAAGGUUGGAGAGAGGGGGUAAAGGAGGUUUUGUGUGUGAGGGACUUGGAGUUACCACAAGCAUGCGUGAACGUAUUUGAUAGGAUUGAAUGGAGACAAAUGGUUUUUAAUAAUUGACGUGCUGUUGGAGUAUGAGCAAAGUAACAUUCUUGAAGGGACUCAGGGAAACCGGCAGGCUGGACUUGAGUCCUGGAGAUGGGAAGUACAGUGUUUGCACUCUGAAGGAGGGGUGUUAUUGUUGCAGUUUUAUAACUGUAGUGUAAAGCACCCCUCUGGCAAGACAGUGAUGGAGUGAAUGAUGACGGUUUUUCUUUUUCGGGCCACCCUGCCUUGGUGGGAAUCAGCCGAUGUGUUAAUGAAUAAAUAAAUUGUGGAAGCAUAUUAGACCCACCAGUUGAUGUGUAUUAGUCAUGUGACAUCAUUUGUUUACUCUUCAACAUUGGCAAAAAUCAAACAUUUCCACUACUUUGAGCUCAAUUUCAAGGUACAUUUAGUCGAUAAACCAUUCAAAAUCUUCCAUUCUGUCAAAUGAGACCAAGAAAACGAAAAUACAAUCAUAAAUACCACAUGAAAAUACACUGCAAAGUCGGUGCUUUUAACCAAAAACAUGGUCUGAGUUUUUUUUUUUCAUUAUGCACUGCGUGCCACAGGAUUUUUUUUUAUAUUGCACACACUGACCACUCAAGACCCAUUCUCUCAUAUGUAGGCCUACCAGCUUACUUUUGCAAGAUUGGAAGCCACUAGAAUUUUGGCGUAAUAUUACGGCACCAUCACUGGUUUGCAAGCCAUAAUAUUUCAACACUGACAGUGGAAGGGUUAAUAUACAAUCAACCAACAACAUUGAAAUAGAAUUUAAUGUAAAAACAUUCAUACAGACUUUAAUCCUAAGACAGUUGGGUAGGUAAACUUCCAUAGACAUCACUCUUGGUGGUGCCUACAUCAGCCAGAAACUUAUCCAAAGAUAAUGGGGUAGGCAAAAUGCUAUGAUCAUGCCAGGCUCCUGUGGGUGGUGUCAUCAGCCAGGUGGUGCACCAUUUAUACUUGUCUCCCAUGGAUCCAUUCUGCACAAACUGCCUACAUAGAUCAUUGAUACAGCUUUGAGCUACCAGGUUGACCAGGCAUUCAGGCUCUUAAACCUUUCAGGGUUUCUGACGUACUAGUACAACUUAUGCACCAGGGUUAUUGACAUACUAGUACGCAUAAAUUCUAGCGCCUUCAAAUCUAGCGAGAGAAAGCUGGUAGGCCUACAUAUGAAAGAAUGGGUCUAUGUGGUCAGUGUGCACAGUACAAAAAAAAUCCUGCAGCACACAGUGCGUAAUGUGGAAAAAAAAAAACUUUGACCGUGUUUUUGGUUUAAAACAGUGACUUUGCACUGUAUUUUCAUAUGGUAUUUAUGGUUGUAUUCUAGUUUUCCUGGUCUCAUUUUAUAGAAUGGAAGACAUAUUACAGAAAUUGAGCUCAAAGUAGCAGAAAUGUUCGAUUUUUGCCAAAGUUCAAACGUAAACAAAUCAUACCACCCAUCCAAUACACGUCAAAUGGUGAAUCUAAUAUUUUUUCAUAAGUGCACUGAUAUUAUUUAUACCAUUUCCACACUAAAGCAGUAGUCUGCAUAACAGUAAGUCUUCUGUUUUUUGUGAGAAUAAAAAUUCAAUGUUGAAAGCAAAAGAAAUGUAAGAGGGGUCUGGGGACGUGACUAAUGAACAGAGGAAAUGUUAUUUUAGUGCCAGGAAUGCCUGUCUUGUUUAUUCUGGACCCUAUUUGGAAAUUGGCAUCUUUUGAAAUCUGUGGGAAAUUGGCAAAAUUACUAAUUUCUGACCACUUUAUUAGAUAAUUGAAAUUGGUGAAUGGGUGGUUUCUUGUACUCAUUCAAUAGAAAAAAAAUGGAGUUUUGCGAAAUAGUUAUGAUUUUUGUCGACUAGUACACGGGAAUUGGCUGAAAAUAGGGCUCAAAGUGGGCGAAAUCGCUGAUGCGUAAACAUCGGCAAGACUGCUAACUUCACGAGAGCAUAAUUCCGUAAGUUUUCCAUCAAAUUUCAUACUUUUGGUGUCAUUAUGAUUGGGAAAAGAUUCUCUAUCUUUUCAUAAGAAAAAAAUAAUUUUUUUUUUCCGAAAAAUUUUCGACCCUGAGAACAAGUUUAGGAGAGGGCCUCUCGACCCUGAAAGGGUUAAUGGCCAGUGUUGGCAAGCUGUAACAAGUCACCAGCAUGGUGCCUGAUAGUGAUACUUUUGGCAGUUAGUUUCAUAUAACCCAAAAACCAUCACAACCCUUCAUCUCAACAACAGUAGUAACACAAUUUCUUAAUUUUUCUUAAUCAUUUUUUUAAAUUACAUAUGAUGCUUCUAACAUGAGGGGCAUAACUUUGAACUCCUUAUUUGAGGAAAAGAAAUUAUUGUGUAUGGUUAUAUACAGUAUUCUCCUUUGAAUAACUCUUGCUAUAUAUUUUGUUAUUGACAGCAUGUGCAAUAUAUUUUCAUUGCAUUAUGCUACUAUGAUUAUUCUGUGUACUCCUGUGCAAGCUUGUGCCUGUGAAAGUCCCCUUACCACAUUGCUACAUAUGUGCAUGUUAUAUGACUGUUCAUUUACAUUAAAAAUUUUUUAAAGAUGUUCAUUUUAUAGUUUAUAUUUUAUGGAAUAGGAUCACAAAUUAACAACAUACAGUAUAACCUGGAAUAUCUGUGCCAGAAAUUAGCUGCCAUUUCUCAAGUAUUACAAGUUAACCAGUUGUGGAGGAUGUACUUGACAACACUACUCCAACUCAAACCAAAUUGGAAAUUCUCAUUUGAUUUAUAUUUGCCACAUGUUACAGCACUUUAAUCUUCCUUAGGUGUUACUGCACUAGUUAAACUACAGAUGGAAGUUCUAGCCUAACAUGUAAUGGGGUUUUUAAGUACAGGAUGGUCCUGUUUAUACAGCAGGUUAGGUUCUGGGCUGCUGCUGUAAAACAAAAAUUGCUGUGGAAUGAAACAUACUGUUUUUUUUAAAUGCAUUUAAAAGCCUGAUAAGAUGUUUACAUUAUCAUACAUUAAGUGAGCAGUAAAGCUAGGCCUUAAAAAUGCAUUUACAGUACACAUACGGUUUACCUUAAAAUAUUUUUGUCUUCAGCUUAUAGUGAGUGGUGAAUAUAUUUAUUGUAAGAAGUCUGAAUAAAUGAAGAACAGGUAUAAUUAAAGGCCACUGCAUUAGCAAAAUGCCAUAAUGCUUAGUGCUUUAAAGCAGGGCCCACCUGUACGUAGUGAGUACACAUGCCAGUAUCACAAGAGCAUCAUUGUGGAGAGAGCUAAGAACCUAAUGUCCUCCCUUGUAUUGAACAAGGAAGAUUACUGAAUUUGUUUUUCCAGGUCCUAAUCAAUGUGAAAGCCUGGAAAUCAUUCAAUUUUAAAACAAUAAGGAAUUCAUAAUCUUUUUUAUUGUGGUUUUAAGUUAUAUUCAGUCAAGCUAUUAUGAUUACAUAAGGUAUUUGUAUCAAAACAGUUGCUAUGAUACUUGCCAGUAAUAAUUAAGAAAAGACAUGAGUGCUGAAUAAGGUUUUAUUGCACUUUAGAGCAACAGUGCAGUAAAAGCUUGCCUUACAUCUUUGUUUUUACUUCUGUUUUUAGUGUGUAAAAUUCAGUGUAGCUUGGUGUUGACAUAAGUACACUAAAGUAAACCCUCAAUUUAACCCUUUCAGGGUCCAGAACCCUGAUCUGAAACUUGUCCACAGGGUCCAAGAAUUUGCAAAAAAAAAAAAAAAAAAAAAAUUUUUUCUUACGAAAGGGUAGAGAAUCUUUUUCUGAAGGUAAUGAAACAAAAAGUACGAAAUUGAUGGAAAAUUGAUGCAGUUACGCUGUCACGAAUUUUGCUGCAUCAGCAAUAUUUAUGCAUCGGUGAUUUUACCCACUUUGACUCCCAUUUUAGGCCAAUUACAUUAUUCGAGUCAACCAAAUUCUUAGCUGUUUCGCUAGUAUUACUUCUAUUUUAUCAGUUGAGCAUGAGAAACUGCCCAGUCUUCUAUUUCAACUACCCAAUAAAGUGAUCAGAAAUUGGUUAUUUGGCCAGUUUCACACAAAGUUCAAAAUAUUCUAAUCUCAAAAUAUGUCCAAAAUAAACAAUGCAGGCAUUCCUGGAACUAAAAUAACAUUUCCUCUGUUUAUUAGUUACGUUUCCAUGUUUUACAGAUUAAUUUCAUUUUUAUUUUUUAUGCACAUAUUGAAUUUUUAUUCACACCAAAAAAUAGAUUUACUUUUAUGCAAUAUUGUAAUAACUGUAUAAAUAAUAUCAGCACAUUCAUGAACGUAUAUAAGACCCACCAGUUGAUGUGUAUUGGACAUGUGACGUUAUUUGUUUACUCUUGAAGAUCAGCAAAAAUCUAGCAGUUCCGCUACUUUGAGCUCAGUUUCAACCUACUUUCAGUACUAAAACCAAUCAAAAUUAUCUCUAUUUCUGUAAUAUAUCUUCCAUUCUAUCAAUCUAUGAAUCUUAACUAGUCAAAAGUUGGCCUGUGAUACUCCAAUACUGAAACUAUGUAUAGUGCCAAAACAAAAGCAAUCAUAUUGCUAAACUCACAACUAGUAUUUAGCCACUUAGCCAUAAUACCAACUUAUCUCAUAAUUCUGUAACAUUUUAAACCUAAGAUUUCAUAUAAGUCUGCCCGAAAUGCCUAGCCAUGCUAGGCGUUCUAGUGGUACACUCUGUAAUUAUUAUUUUACUACAUGUAAACCACACAAUAACCAAAUUCUGUAAACUCAGCAUUGUAAUACUUGUAGAGAAUAAAGUUUGAAUUUGAAUUUGAAUUUGAAAUGAGACCAAGAAACCAAAUAUACAACCAUAAAAACCAUACAAAAAUACACCGCAAAGUAGUUGUUUUAAUCCAGAAACACAGUCGCAGUUUUUUCCUCAUUUUUCACUGCGUGCUGCAGGAUUUGUUUUAUGUGGUGCACGCUUACCACACAGAUGCAUUCUCUCAUACCUAGGCCCAAAUUUACCACUCACAGCUUAUCUGGGUGAGCUGAGCUCAUGACAUAGUACCAUGGCUUGGACCCUGGCUUCAAAGCCAUAGAACUGCGAGACGGACCCUCAGGGGGUUCAUGAACUAAUGGGAGAGCUGGUGGCUGGUAAUAUCAAAUGUGGUGGUGAAGAUAUUACUUUGCCAUGAUCUUAUCAAUAACAGACAGUUUUUUAGACAGCAGACUUUGUCCGUUGUUUCUGACUUAGUUGACCCAAAAGAUUUUAUCUCAUAUUUCUGAAUCUAUUAAAUUGAGGAUUUACUGCUUAUUUUUAAUGCUAAUAAUAUUGUUAGUAUUAUACUGAGCAAUACAACAUUUAUUUUGUGAAUCUGUUAGAUUUUGUUGGUAUUGAGGUAAUAUUUUAACAGUAAUAAUGAAAAAUCAUUUAUGUUGGUACUGUAAUUAUGGUUAUACUGUAAAAGGUUAAUGCUGUAGUACAUUUUUGGAGAUUUUUGUUGUGUGUAUUUCUCUUUACAUAAUAGUUUUCUCUAUAAAAUAUGCUUUUACAUUCUCAAUUUCAAAACAGUUAUUUGUGUCUUGUAUUGUACUAGAAGCUUAAUUUUAUUUUAUGGGUUAUGUUCAUUUUAUUCUCUAUCACAUAUUUUGUCGUUACACCCUUGCACUAUAAAAACCUUAAGAAUUAUCUGUUGAGUGUUCUGUACUCCUCCUUCCCUCACAUCCCCUAAGCAAGGAAGCCCUGGCCGCAUGUGCUUGUCCUCUUUCAUUUUGAUCAUUAAUGUUAGCCACACACACACAGGCUCAGGCGGGUAUAAUGCCCUUACAGCCGCACCAACUGCGUCCUCAGUACGGGCCAUAACGGACAAGGAAUAUGAUGACAGCGAACCAGAAAAGAAACCAAAGAGUAUGCUGGUAAUAUCUGGUGGAGAAGGAUACAUCGACUUCAGAAUUGGUGAAGGGGAGGAGGAUGGAACCCCUGAGCCAUCUGCAGAGUCGCUUAGCCGUGGUGAUCGCUCACACCUCAUCGUCUGGUCUGUGGCACGUCCUCCACUUUGAGAACAUUAGUCAUGCCUUCAAGGGAUGUAAUCAUCACAAUAAGGGAUUCCUCAUUUCUCAGAGCAGUUAUUCUUUGUCACUGCUUAGUAUUAGUAUGGGCUAAUAUCCAGUGAGAAAUUUGUUAGAAUUAUAGCCUCAGAGCAGUGAAAAAGAAUUUGUGCUUUUGGGAUCUGCCGUAUCAUCAGAUAAGCCAUCACAUCACAUCACAUUUUCUCAGGUUUUGCAGAUGCUGAACAUCCAGUUAUAAGAGUGCACAAUCCAAAAUUUAAAAAAAAUCAGUAUGGUAUGUUCCUCAUAUUAGCAGUAUUCAGUAAUAGUCAUGUUAAUAUACAUCCUCAUGAACUUAAAAAAAUGCUGAGAAUAGCAGAGUUGUGAUUUACAUUGUAAUAGACAAACAAUUGAGAAAUUGUGCACAUUCAUCAAUCUUGCAACCUACAUUUCUUCAUUAAGUGAUAACAGCACAAGAACAGACUCAGCAUGGAGCUGUAAGUGUCAUGUUUUCAAGGCAAAACUGUAAGCUAUUAUUUCAGUAUUAGCCAUUACUUUUAAUAAAUUUUGCAGAAAAAAUCAGAAGGUAUAACCAAGCAUCCUCCUUUAAUCUUUGCCACAUUAUAUUUUUUUUAAGCUUUGAAAAUACAGUAAAUGAAAAUAACUGCUUAUAUACAGUAGGUCUAGUCUUUCAUUCUACUUAAAUAUGACAAAGCACAGAGGUAUGGUUUAUUCAUAAGGCUGAGACAUUAUUUCUCAAAUAAUACAUAAGUUUUGUUCUUAUGAAGAGAAACAAUAGGUCUCAAAGUGUUUAUACAGUGGACCCCCGGUUUACGAUAUUUUUUCAUUCCAGAAGUAUGUUCAGGUGCCAGUACUGACCGAAUUUGUUCCCAUAAGGAAUAUUGUGAAUUAGAUUAGUCCAUUUCAGACCCCCAAACAUACACGUACAAACGCACUUACAUAAAUACACUUACAUAAUUGGUCGCAUUGAGAGGUGAUCGUAAAGCGGGGGUCCACUGUACUAGGAAAGUGAAAGAUAGGCACUAAGCCUACACAUAGUAAAUCAAGGACAUGUAGACAAAACAAGUUUUUAUUAAAAAUUAUCUAUCACUUAGCAAGAGCUUUAUUAAGUUUUUAAUAAAGGUGCUUCUGUCAACAUGUCUUUGAUUUACCAUGCUAGGAACUUAAAAUUUAAAUGUGCCGUUCACAGUCAUUAAUAAGAGGGAAAAAACAGCUGAAAUCCAUUAAUUUACAUAACUUGCUUCAUAUUAAACUUGUGGAGAAUUAUUUAUGAGUGUUUAACACAACAGUUUUUAACGAUUUUCCUUGUAAAAUGUUAUAUAUUAUUGUGUAUCAUUAUUUGAGUUACAGGCAAACAAAAACUUCAAAGGUCAGUUUGUGAUAUUUAAAUUAAAUGUAUAUUUUGUCUUGUCUAAAAAAAAAGCCGCUUUUUCUCUAUAGUACUUACAAAUAUUAGCAAAGAAAAUACUCUUGUAUCUCACCUUAGCUAGCCAACAGCAGAUAUUGUUAGAAUUAUGGUAGCAAAUGAAAAUCCACAUUUUACAUUUUUAAAAUUGUGAUAAACAAAAAGGUAAAUUAUUGACACUAAAGUCAUUUUAAAUGUUUAAAAGUGAUAUCUUAAAUAGACAAGAAUUAAAUACAAUAUUAAAUUGCCAUAAUAAAUAUGUAGUUUAUUAAUAAUGCUCUAAAAGCUGGUAUGCAUUUCCCAUCUAUAUCUCAUGGAAAAAGUCGAACUUCUGUUUUUUUCCUCGCCGCCCAUUCAAUAUUAAUAUAAUACCUAAAUUAUGGCUAAGAGAAUCCAUGUUGCAUACUGUAAUUAUAUGUUAGCAGUAUUGCUCAAGGGACAUAAUAAGGAUUGGAGAAUAUUAACCCUUUCAGUGUCAAGACCCCUGAUCCUAAACUCUCACUGUCGAAAACUUAAAAAAAAAAAUUCUUGUGAAACGAUAGAGAAUCUUUUCCCUAUGGUAAUGACACCAAAAGUACGAAAUUUGAUGGAAGACUUAUGAAAUUAUGCUCUCUCAAAGUUAGCACUCUCGGCAAUAUUUACGCAUCGGCAAUUUCGCCCACCUUGAGCCCUAUUUUUAGCCAAUUCCAUUGUUCCAGUUGACUGAAAUCAUAGUUAUUUUGCUUGAACUCCAUUUGUUCUAUUGAUUGAGUACAAGAAACUGCCCAUUUACUAAUUUCAACUACCCUGUAAAGUGGUCAAAAAUUGGCAAUUUGGCCAAUGUCACACAAAUUUCAGAAGAUGCCAAUUUCAAAACAGGGUCCAGAAUAAACCAGGCAGACAUUCUUGGCACUAAAAUAACAUUUUCUUUGUUCAUUAGUCAUGUCUCUAGGCCCCUCUUAUAUUACUCUUGCUUUCCAUCUUGAAUUUUUAUUCUCACAAAAAAUAGAUUUACAGUUAUGCAGGCUACUGCAUUAUUUUAGUAAUUGCUUAAGUAAUGUCAACCCAUUCAUGACUGUAUUAGACUAGCUAAUUCAACACGUAUUGGACAGUGACGUCAUUUGAUUACUCUUAAACAUCGGCAAAAAUCAAACAUUUCCACUAUUUUGAGCUCAAUUUCAAGGUACUUUUCAUCAUAAAACUAAUCACAAUCAUCUCCAUCUCUAUAAUAUAUCUUCCAUUCUAUCAAAUGAGAUCAAGAAAAUGAGAAUAAAACCAUAAAUACCAUACGAAAAUACACCGCAAAUUCGCUGUUUUAAACCAAAACCACGGUCAGUUUUUUUUUUUUCAUUGUGCACUGCGUGCUGCAGGAUUUUUUUUUAUAUUGCGUACACUGACCACACAGACCCAUUCUUUCAUAUGUAGGCCUACCAGCUUUCUUCCAGCAGAUUUGAAGGCGCUAGAAUUUUGGCAUAGUACUAGGGACCGACACUGGCUCUCAAGCCAUAGUACUAAGGGAUCAACACUGGCUCUCAAGCUGUAGUACUACAGGACCGACACUGGCUCUCAAGCUGUAGUUCUACGGGACCGAUACUGAAAGGGUUUAAUAUUGAAGAGCGCUAAACCAAAUAUUGUUUCAUGGGUAAUACAGCUGUCAUGGAAAUAAUGAAAUUUAUUUUUAGUUACAAAAAUAAAUACCCAGCUUAAUUCUCUAUACUUGUGAAGCCUUGAAUUUUGUUAUGCUCUAGAAAUCACUUUCUAGAUAUACUUAAUCAGUUAUGUAUGAACUUGCAGCUUCAUCCUGAAGUAUGAAGCAGGCUAUAGAAAGUACUUAAUGAAUAACCCUGUGCUUAGCUCCACUAAGACUUCCUCUGUGUGAUGCAAAUUGUUGAACGUACCAGUUUUGAUGCUACUGUAGCUAACCUCACAUUGCAUUUUUGUAAUGGACAUAAGGGAAGGGUACUUCACCAGAGUCUUACUUAAGAUUUAGAGAAAAAAGGUAUAGGAACAUUUCAUUGCUUGUUGUUGAGACUGAAGGGCAAAUGCACAUUGCCCGAGUCGUGUGAUAAGUUAAUUGUAGAGAUGCAGGAUAGCUUACUUUGGUAGGGGAGGGCACCUUCAUCAACGUUUUACAUCAUGGUCAAUUUUAUAAACAUAUUUUUUUAGCAAGAGUUCUAAGGGAAGUACAUUUCUCUUGACUUUACAUUAGUGUAAAGUUUUUGGAGCUGUCACAGAUGUUGGACAUAGCAGCUUAACUUCCAGAUGCUGAAGUUGUGGAAUCUCUUCAGGUUUUAGUCAGUCAUUUCAUUUCUAUUCAUUCACAUUUUAAAAUGGCUCUUGAGAGUGAAGUUCAAGCAAGUAUUCUUAAGAAGAUGCUGUUAUGUGAUGUUUAAGAGCCAUUUUAGAAUUUUUUCAGGUUUCCCCCGAAUAUAAUUUAUAUAUUCGUCACACUGGGGUCUCUCCAAAUAUGAUAUUUUAGUCAUAUAAGAAUUUUAGUUGAAUGUUCCUCUAUCUUGUCAGUAAUUUGUUAUACAUAUUUUUUAUAUUAAACUACUCAAAGAAUCAUCUACCAUCAAAAAAAUAUAUAAAUAAAUUUUAUAUAUAUAUAUAUAUAUAUAUAUAUAUAUAUAUAUAUAUAUAUAUAUAUAUAUAAUAUAAUAUAAUAUAUAAUAUAUAUCAGUACCAAAGCUUUAUCAUUUUAAUAAUUUUGUUAUGUAUAGGAAUGUAAUAAGUUACUUGUGAAGAGAAAGUUUCAGUUCCAUAUUGGAACUGUUGGCUGUUUUGUACGAACUUACUUUUGCGUUCACAACUGAAAUUUAUGUAGAUAUCCCAAUAUCUUUCUUUGGCAAAUGAAACACCAAGGCACAAGUCAUUUACAAAAUUGUUUGCUAAGCAGACAAGACAUUGUAGUUACAAUAUAACUUUUUUACAGUUUUAUCUAGAGCUCUUUGUAUUGCAGGCCAUGGUUUAUAGCUUGUAUACUGAGAGACACUGUUGUAUAGUAUCUUGUAUGGUUGUAAUUUAUUUGAUGUAUGUAUUAUUGAUAUAUAGUAUCACAGAUUCAUGUCAACCUGUCUUGUGAAUACAGCUUGAUCCGCAGUAAACUACAAUAA